rnacentral:rRNA from 1 species
UUACGGGGUGCAGCAGGCGCGAAACCUCUGCAAUAGGCGAAAGCUUGACAGGGUUACUCUGAGUGAUUUCCGUUAAGGAGAUCUUUUGGCGCCUCUAAAAAUGGUGCAGAAUAAGGGGUGGGCAAGUCUGGCGUCAGCCGCCGCGGUAAUACCAGCACCCCGAGUGGUCGGGGCGUUUAUUGGGCCUAAAGCAUCCGUAGCCGGUUCUACAAGUCUUCCGUUAAAUCCACCUGCUUAACAGAUGGGCUGCGGAAGAUACUAUAGAGCUAGGAGGCGGGAGAGGCAAGCGGUACUCGAUGGGUAGGGGUAAAAUCCGUUGAUCCAUCGAAGACCACCAGUGGCGAAGGCGGCUUGCCAGAACGCGCUCGACGGUGAGGGAUGAAAGCUGGGGGAGCAAACCGGAUUAGAUACCCGGGUAGUCCCAGCUGUAAACGAUGCAGACUCGGUGAUGAGUUGGCUUCUUGCCAACUCAGUGCCGCAGGGAAGCCGUUAAGUUUGCCGCCUGGGGAGUACGGUCGCAAGACUGAAACUUAAAGGAAUUGGCGGGGGAGCACAAU